AUACGUAGGGUGCAAGCGUUAAUCGGAAUUACUGGGCGUAAAGCGUGCGCAGGCGGUUUUGUAAGACAGUGGUGAAAUCCCCGGGCUCAACCUGGGAACUGCCAUUGUGACUGCAAGGCUGGAGUGCGGCAGAGGGGGAUGGAAUUCCGCGUGUAGCAGUGAAAUGCGUAGAUAUGCGGAGGAACACCGAUGGCGAAGGCAAUCCCCUGGGCCUGCACUGACGCUCAUGCACGAAAGCGUGGGGAGCAAACAGGAUUAGAUACCCUGGUAGUCCACGCCCUAAACGAUGUCAACUGGUUGUUGGGGAUUUAUUUUCUCAGUAACGAAGCUAACGCGUGAAGUUGACCGCCUGGGGAGUACGGCCGCAAGGUUAAAACUCAAAGGAAUUGACGGGG
rnacentral:rRNA from 1 species